rnacentral:rRNA from 1 species
ACUGAACGCUGGCGGCAUGCCUUACACAUGCAAGUCGAACGGUAACGGGCCUUCGGGUGCCGACGAGUGGCGAACGGGUGAGUAAUGUAUCGGAACGGUACCUUUCAGUGGGGGAUAACGUAGCGAAAGUUACGCUAAUACCGCAUAUUCUGUGAGCAGGAAAGCAGGGGAUCGCAAGACCUUGCGCUGAUUGAGCGGCCGAUAUCAGAUUAGCUAGUUGGUGAGGUAAAGGCUCACCAAGGCGACGAUCUGUAGCGGGUCUGAGAGGAUGAUCCGCCACACUGGAACUGAGACACGGUCCAGACUCCUACGGGAGGCAGCAGUGGGGAAUUUUGGACAAUGGGGGCAACCCUGAUCCAGCCAUGCCGCGUGAGUGAAGAAGGCCUUCGGGUUCGUUAAAGCGUCUUUCGGUCCGGGAACGAAAGUACGUAU